rnacentral:rRNA from 1 species
GAUGAACGCUGGCGGCGUGCUUAACACAUGCAAGUCGAACGGUGAACACGGAGCUGCUCUGUGGGAUCAGUGGCGAACGGGUGAGUAACACGUGAGCAACCUGCCCCUGACUCUGGGAUAAGCGCUGGAAACGGCGUCUAAUACUGGAUAUGUGACGUGACCGCCUGGUAUUCGUUUGGAAAGAUUUUUCGGUUGGGGAUGGGCUCGCGGCCUAUCCGCUUGUUGGUGAGGUAAUGGCUCACCCAGGCGUCGACGGGUAGCCGGCCUGGGAGGGUGAACGGCCACACUGGGACUGAGACACGGCCAGACUCCUACGGGAGGCAGCAGUGGGGAAUAUUGCACAAUGGGCGCAAGCCUGAUGCAGCAACGCCGCGUGAGGGAUGACGGCCUUCGGGUUGUAAACCUCUUUUAGCAGGGAAGAAGCGAAAGUGACGGUACCUGCAGAAAAAGCGCCGGCUAACUACGUG